rnacentral:lncRNA from 1 species
AGCUGGAGAGAAGCAGUCAUCUUUGCCCUUCUUUCCCCUGGCUUCACUCCCUUUCUUCAUCCUCACUGUUAUAAUCUGUCUCCCUCUGAACCUGAUGCCUUGCUUCUGUUGUCACGCCCUUUCCUGACUGACCCUUUGUCUUAUUCUGAGGACAUAUGUGGUAACAUUGGUUCUGCCAGAGUUCAGAAGAAUUUGCUGCACAGGCCUUACUAAUCACCUCUGCAAAGUCCUCGUAGCCAAGGACGGCCAUGUGGUUAUGGGCUUGGGAGAUGACGGUGCGCACAGCUUCCUGGAUUGCCAUUGUGUUGCCACAGGUGUCCUAACACAGCUUUUUUUCCUUGAAGCAUUUUAAAAAUUAAUUUUGAAAAUCAUUCUUUUGUGAAUGAGUGUUUUUCUGUAUAUUAACUACUUAGGACUUAGUCUAUGAUAGAAACUGAAAGACUUUUUGCAGCACCUUUUAUGGACUUUCCAAUCAACUCCAGCCUCUUUAUACUAUCUAACCACAUGCACAGUGGUGUUUAUAUCUCUCCCUCCCUGGUUUCCGUGAUUCCUCUAUAUGUGAGGUAGGUGUGUGUGUGUGUGUGUGUGCGUGUGUGUGUAUGUCUGUGUCUAUGUCUGUGUGACUGAUGUGUGUGUGUGUGUGUGUGUGUGUGUGUGUGUGUGUGUGUGUACACACACACAUAUAUAGUAUUCCUGUUAUUGAACUUGGGAGUCACAACCGGUGCCCCAGGUUGGGUCUGGUCACCCAUCCUUAGUGAUUAAAAGCCAAUUGAAAGAACCAAAUUGAAAGUGGAAGCAGAAGACUUCUUCAGUGUGGCCACAUUGGGAAGAGAGAGAUGUGACUCCCUCCCCCAUCCAUCUUCUCUGUCCUGGAUUGACACAAGGACAGGUCACCCAUGAUGGUAGGAUUUGUACAUCUAAGCAGUUCAGGUCAGUUAUGUGACCACUACCAUCAUGGGUGACCUGUCUUUGUCUGGACUUUAGUCUCAUUCUGUAAUCUGAAAAGUUUUUACAACUAUGUGGAAUCUCUUUCCAGGGGACAAGUUUCCCUCUGCUUCUUCCAUCAUGAGAUUCUUGAGAAAUUUCUAUUUCUUUGAGGAUCCCUAUUUCAAUAGUAUGAUAGUCAGACGGAAAGACAUGGGUAUCCCUUUUGUAAUAUCCUCAUUUCUGCCACAUCUGUUGCCUUUCUUUCCUGGAAUACAUUUGUAUUGAUGUCUGCUGUGGUCUGACAGAUGAAGCAGUUGUGAGCCAAGAGAACAGUAGGUGGCGCACACAGUCUGAUAGGUCCUUUUCAAGGAGUAGUCUCCUGCCCCCCAAAUUCCAGUUGACCAGAACAAGGGACAUAUUAGCUUAUCUUUUAUAAUAUUUUCCCAGAGCUAUUUUAACAAAGUGCCACAGACUGGUGGUUUAGAACAUUAGGAAUCCCUGAUUUUACUCUUUUGGAGACCAGAAUAUUAGAAAGAUUCUUUCUGAAGACUCCAAGGAAGAACCUGUCUCUUUCUUAGUUUUUGAUGCUUGCUGACAUCCAUUACCUCACAGCUGAGUCCUCAGCCUGUCUCCAUUGUCAGACAGUAUCCCUACUGUGUGUCUACUUGUAUCUGUUUAGUCACAUGGCCUUGAAUUGCAUCAGUCAUUCAUUUAGAUCCCUUUUUAAUACAAUAUCUUAGCUUUAUUACUAUGCAGAGACCCUGUCUCCAAAAGGUUCAUAUCUAUAGAUUCCUAUGACUCAAGCACAACCCAAACCAUUGUUGGAAAUGAAAGUUAGCAACACAUAAAAGAACACACAAAGCAGAAAUAGUUUUCCAAGGUGAUUUUUUUUCUUUUUGUAAAAAGGGUAGGUACCAGAGCCCAACCCCUGCUAGCCAUCGUACUCUGAAAGUGAAAACCAGCAGCUGGGCUUGCCCCUGACUUAGAUGGAGACUGCAUCUCUUCCCACUGAUGGAGCUUGGCUUUGUAGUCUGACAUGAUUGGUGCUGUCAGCACAGAGUGGAAGGGGCGUAACUACUUUUGAUAGGAAAAGGUUUCUUAUACCACUAACCCCCACCCCCUUAUAAUACUAGUUGAUAGUGUAUGGAUAAGAAGUUAUCAGAUAUUUUUUAUUCCAUUAUGUAGCCACAGAGAGGAAUCCAUUAUGCUUUAAUGGAAGAUAAUCUUUUUGUUUUUCUUUGACUUUGUCUUGCUUUCUGUUUGUUUGCUUCUGUAACUGAAAGGGCAUUUCAUGUCUGUUUUUCUCAUGCAUUUAUCUUCUGUGUGACUAGAAUUGGGAAGAUUUUUUGUGGAAUUACAGAAGCUGUGUGUUACAUACAGGCCUCUCCUAAAGAUGUGUGUGUGCGUGUGUGUGUGCACGUGUGUGCGUAUGUGUGCACGAGCGCGUGUGCUUGCGCUUGCCUUAGCUGGGGAGACAAAACAUGUCAAAGUAAAAUAGAGUGCAGUUAGGCCAAGGUUUGUCAUAUUUACCACUCCUUUGGCAGGAGUGUGCAGUGUGGACUACAAUUGUCAGGAAGGCUUUGUGUGAGGCAGCUGAUCUGGACCUAAAAGAAUAAGAUGCAUCCUAACAAAGCAGAGGAGGAAACAGCCUGGCAUCCACAGAGGACGUUAAAGUACAUACAUGCAUACAUGCACACACACACUCCAAAGGUACUCUCAAUUCUUUUCUAGACUUAUGAAAAUUAGUCAGGUUCCUGAAUACCAAGCAAACUUUAAAAAAGCUAAUACCAGUGGUUUCCACACACAGUCUGUGGCCAGUCUCAAAGGCAGCAGUCAGUGACAGUAAAAGGACUGGUUCUUUGUACCUUGUAGAGAAGUCAUUGAAGGAACAAAAGACCAGACAAACAUGAAGGAGAAAAAAGGAUGAAGAAGUUUAAAAUGGCAGAAUAUGUGUAGUGUUGACAGUGUGCUUAGACAGCUAGAGGAGACAAGUUGGCAUAAAGCACAAGAAGGCCGACCUCUGAAGACAUUUCUACAACAGUUUAAAGAGUCUUUCUUCCCAGAGGGAACUUUCCGAUUUCAAGCCUGGCUGAGUUUCACAGCUUAGUAUUCAAACUGUUUCAGACCACAUUAAAAAAUGAGACAUGCACCACUUCAUUUUAUGGAUGUAGCAUAAUCUUCAUUCAAAAUCUUAAGGCACACAUACAUACAUGCAUGCAUACAUACAUACAUGCAUACAGGGUCUCAUAAAAUACUG